UGAGACCUAACGAGCAUCAUUGCUUCUAAUGUGUUUAUUUUAGUACAUCUUUGGGUAUAAAACCUUUGCUGCCUUGGCUGAUCUUUAAUCUGGUGCUUGCUGGGAGUGUACCAUGCCUGGCAAGCAGUGGAGCUUUUCCAGGCAAUGAGUGCCCAGCUCCCUUCCCAGCUCCUGCCUCUUCCACUUGGUGUUCCUGUUGACUCACUCCAUUCCAGGAAGGCCACCCGACCCUGCUGCAGGUGAAACUCACACUCUGCCACUCCGGAGCUUCCACUCUUUCUGCCUGGCCUUCUCCCCCAUUACCUUGAGCUUGCUUCAGCAGGCUCUGAAGAGACGGGGCUUCAUGACCUCUGCUCCAUUGCCUGAACCUGCCAAUUCAAAUAUGUGCCACCUUGCAAGUACCAGGGAUCAAACUCCGGUCCUUGCACUUGCGCAGCAGGCGGUGAAACCACUGAGCUAAAUCUCCAGCCCCAAGAACAGCAAUUUAGCUAGACCUUGUCUUGAAAUAAAAGGGCUGGGUGUAGCUCAGCAGUAGAGCUCCUGCCUAUUAUGCUCAAAGCCCUAGCUUCAACUCCCAGCAGUCCAAAACAAAACAGAAAGAAAAACAGAUUAUAUCCUAGGAGGUAUAUUAAGAUAUUUAGGUAAAAAUAAACCUGCAUUAAGAUUUCAGAAAAUGUGUACAGAUCUAUACCAAAUAGCUAAGAGUGGAUGGUUUUGGAGAAAGAAUCACAUAGAAAUUUUCACUGUUUCUGUAUUAAAAUUUUUACAAUAAAUUUAUAUUAUCAGA